AUUGAACGCUGGCGGCAGGCCUAACACAUGCAAGUCGAGCGGAUGAAGGGAGCUUGCUCCUGGAUUCAGCGGCGGACGGGUGAGUAAUGCCUAGGAAUCUGCCUGGUAGUGGGGGAUAACGUCCGGAAACGGGCGCUAAUACCGCAUACGUCCUGAGGGAGAAAGUGGGGGAUCUUCGGACCUCACGCUAUCAGAUGAGCCUAGGUCGGAUUAGCUAGUUGGUGGGGUAAAGGCCUACUAAGGCGACGAUCCGUAACUGGUCUGAGAGGAUGAUCAGUCACACUGGAACUGAGACACGGUCCAGACUCCUACGGGAGGCAGCAGUGGGGAAUAUUGGGCAAUGGGCGAAAGCCUGAUCCAGCCAUGCCGCGUGUGUGAAGAAGGUCUUCGGAUUGUAAAGCACUUUAUGUUGGGAGGAAGGGCAGUAAGUUAAUACCUUGCUGUUUUGACGUUACCAACAGAAUAAGCACCGGCUAACUUCGUG
rnacentral:rRNA from 1 species